AGCAGUAGGGAAUCUUCCGCAAUGGACGAAAGUCUGACGGAGCAACGCCGCGUGAGCGAAGAAGGUCUUCGGAUCGUAAAGCUCUGUUGUCAGGGAAGAACAAGUGCCGUUCGAACAGGGCGGUACCUUGACGGUACCUGACGAGGAAGCCACGGCUAACUACGUGCCAGCAGCCGCGGUAAUACGUAGGUGGCAAGCGUUGUCCGGAAUUAUUGGGCGUAAAGCGCGCGCAGGCGGUUCCUUAAGUCUGAUGUGAAAUCUCGCGGCUCAACCGCGAGCGGCCAUUGGAAACUGGGGAACUUGAGUGCAGGAGAGGGGAGCGGAAUUCCACGUGUAGCGGUGAAAUGCGUAGAGAUGUGGAGGAACACCAGUGGCGAAGGCGGCUCUCUGGCCUGUAACUGACGCUGAGGCGCGAAAGCGUGGGGAGCGAACAGGAUUAGAUACCCUGGUAGUCCA
rnacentral:rRNA from 1 species